UCUCCCAUAGCUCAGUGGUAGAGCGUCUGACCCUUGCGCAGAAGAUCAUUAGGUUUGACUGCUGUUGGGAGAA